rnacentral:lncRNA from 1 species
CGGAGCCCCUCGCGCCCGCCCUCCUCGCCAGGUGCCCGGCCGAGCCGCCCGCUGAGGCCUGGGUCCGCCGAGCUUUUCGGUGCCGAAGUUCCGCGACGGAGAAGAUCCAAGGAAAAGUAUAAAAUAUGUUCUUGUAGCUAUAAACCUUUCACGGGAACUAGUUGAAAUUGCAGGAAAGUCCUAGAAUCUGAAACUACCUUAAGCUUUUAAUAUAGACAGAAAUGACUUUAAUAAGUUGUGGAAAUAAACCUGAAAUUCAGGGAAAGAAUUGGAAAAAUGGCUUCAGAGAGACUUUUAUUUGCCGCUUUUAAAACCACUAAAGACAAUCUUACAUGAAUUCAGACAAGGAGCGACACCAGCUUUGGUUGGGGCCUUACCUCUCCAGGGUGUAGACUGGAGGGAGGAGGAUUCUCCAAACCAUCCCCAGACCAGGGCCAGGCUGCCCAACAGGAGUGAACUGGAUGUGGUAGCCAGUAAAGCGUAUUUCCUAGCUCGAUUUUGGAAAGUACUUAACUUACUUUUCUCUGGACGCACAAGUUUUAGACCUGUCAGUCUUUAAAAACAUAAAAACUUAUUUGAGCCCAACUAAGAAGCGCUGCUUGACACUAGAUUCUUUUUUGUGGGGUGGGGGUGGGGUCCUAUUAUUGUUGAAAGAUUAAAGGAAGGGAAUUCCAACUUUGGAGUUUUAUUCUAGUACAGUUUGAGCAAUGGCCGGUCAACUUUAGUUUUGCACCAUACGGUGGUCUACAUUGCAAACUGGGAAACAGAAAUACUACUUCAAGGUCCAUCAAACACCAUUUCAGUUUACAAAAAGCCAUGAAAGUUUUCAAAGGUAAGUGCAGGUCAAUUUGUUUAUUUUUCUUUAUAUCGUGUAUUUUCUUUAUUAUUUUGCAUUAUAUUACAGAAUUGUAAUCAUUUUCAUAUGAAUACUUUUGGGUUGCAGGAUGAAUCAUCUAUUUCCGUUAUAUCUUAUGGGGAAAUUGAUAUGCAAGUAUUUUGGAUUACAAACAUGUUUCUGGAAUGAAUUAUGCUUGUAAACCAAGGUUUUAUUGUAGUUGCAAAUGACUCCAUUAAUCCCUAACCCAUAAUUACUUGGAUAAUGAGCAGUGAUUGAGAAGAAGGCAAGGUAAAACUUGAAUUUUGGAUUACUACUAAAAAACAUGGAACAUUGGGCUUUUUAAAAGUGAAACACAGGCAGGGUGUGGCAGUCCAUACCUGAAAUCCCAGCACUUUGGGAGGCUGAGGCAGGAGAAUCAAAAGCUCAAGCGCACCCUGGGCAAUUUAGUGACUUAGGAAGACCCUAUCUCAUCUGUGAAGGCCCUGAGUUCAAUUUAUAGUUUCAAACAAAUUUUUUUGGAGGGAAACACACUGGAUGCACACAAUUUAAAGUAUAU